CAGUAGCCGCGGUAAUACGAAGGGGGCUAGCGUUGUUCGGAAUUACUGGGCGUAAAGCGCGUGUAGGCGGGUCCUUAAGUCAGAGGUGAAAUGCCAAGGCUCAACCUUGGAACUGCCUUUGAUACUGGGGAUCUUGAGUCCGGAAGAGGUAAGUUGAACUGCGAGUGUAGAGGUGAAAUUCGUAGAUAUUCGCAAGAACACCAGUGGCGAAGGCGGCUUACUGGUCCGGAACUGACGCUGAGACGCGAAAGCGUGGGGAGCAAACAGGAUUAGAUACCCCGGUAGUCCCUGUCUCUUAUAC
rnacentral:rRNA from 1 species